rnacentral:tRNA from 1 species
UAGACGGACGCUUGCUGGUUUGAGCGCUUAGCUGUUAACUAAGAAAUUGUGGGAUCAAGGCCCGCCCGUCUAG